rnacentral:tRNA from 1 species
ACAUUGGUGGUUCAGUGACAGAACGCUUGCCUUCCAUGUGGGAGACCUGGGUUCAAUUCCUGACCAAUGCA